rnacentral:rRNA from 1 species
GACGAACGCUGGCGGCGUGCUUAACACAUGCAAGUCGAACGGUGAAGGGACCGGUUUUUGCUGGUUCUGGUUGAGUGGCGAGCGGGUGAGUAACACGUGAGUAACCCCUCCCCUUCUUCUGGAUAACCGCAAGAAAGGGUCGCUAAUACGGGACAUUCUGCGCCCGCUUCAUGGAGUGUGUAGGGAAGAUUUUGUUUCGGUGGGUGAUGGGCUCGCGGCCUAUCAGCUUGGUUGUGGGGUGAUGGGCUAACAAGGCGGUGGAGGGUCGGCGGCCUGGGAGGGUGGACGGUCACACUGGGGCUGAGACACGGCGCAGACUACGAGGGGAGGCAGUAGGGGGGAAUAUGGCAUAGUGGGCGGAAGGCUGAUGCAGCGACGCCGCGUGAGUGAUGGAGGCCUUCGGGUUGUAAACCUCUUUCGCGAGUGAAGCAGGCCUGUCGCUUUUGUGGGUGGGUUGACGGUAGCUGGAUAAGAAGCGCCGGCUAACUACGUG